GGCCCCAUCGUCUAGCGGCCUAGGACGCUGCCCUCUCAAGGCAGAGAUCACGGGUUCGAAUCCCGUUGGGGCCACCA
rnacentral:tRNA from 1 species